rnacentral:rRNA from 1 species
CACGUAGGGAGCAAGCGUUGUCCGGAUUUAUUGGGCGUAAAGAGCUCGUAGGUGGUUCGGUAAGUCAGGUGUGAAACCUCCAGGCUCAACCUGGAGACGCCACUUGAUACUGCUGUGACUGGAGUCCGGUAGGGGAGCGUGGAAUUCCUGGUGUAGCGGUGAAAUGCGCAGAUAUCAGGAGGAACACCAGCGGCGAAGGCGGCGCUCUGGGCCGAUACUGACGCUGAGGAGCGAAAGCGUGGGGAGCGAACAGG